CCUGAUGCAGCGACGCCGCGUGAGUGAAGAAGUAUUUCGUGAUGGUAAAGCUCUAUCAGCAGGGAAGAUAAUGACAGUACCUGACUAAGAAGCCCCGGCUAACUACGUGCCAGCAGCCGCGGUAAUACGUAGGGGGCAAGCGUUAUCCGGAUUUACUGGGUGUAAAGGGAGCGUAGACGGAGUGGCAAGUCUGAAGUGAAAACCCUGGGCUUAACCUGGGGACUGCUUUGGAAACUGUUAAUCUAGAGUGUUGGAGAGGUAAGUGGAAUUCCUGGUGUAGCGGUGAAAUGCGUAGAUAUCAGGAAGAACACCGGAGGCGAAGGCGGCUUACUGGACAAUAACUGACGUUGAGGCUCGAAAGCGUGGGGAUCAAACAGGAUUAGAUACCCUGGUAGUCCACGCUGUAAACGAUGAAUACUAGGUGUCGGGGAGCAAAGCUUCUCGGUGCCGUCGCUAACGCAAUAAGUAUUCCACCUGGGGGAGUACGUUCGCAAGAAUGAAACUCAAAGGAAUUGACGGGGACCCGCACAAGCGGUGGAGCAUGUGGUUUAGUUCGAAGCAAGCGAAGAACCU
rnacentral:rRNA from 1 species